GGAGUUGGAAGCGUGAUCGCUCGCCGCAAGGCGGGAGGAAAGUCCGGGCAGCGCAGGGCAGGGUGCUGGCUAACGGCCAGGCGGCGUGAGCCGACGGAAAGUGCAACAGAAAAGACACCGCCGAUGGCCCCUUGGGGCACAGGUAAGGGUGAAAAGGUAGGGUAAGAGCCUACCGCGCUGCUGGUGACAGCGGUGGCAGUGUAAACCCCACUUGCUGCAAGUCCAUGUAGAACCGCAUUCGGGCGGCCCGUCCGGCGGUUGGGUAGGAUGCUAGAGGCGGCUGGUAACAGUCCGUCCCAGAGAAAUGAUCACGAUCCGGGGCUUCCCCGGAGACAGAACCCGGCUUAUUUCCAACUCCGGUU
rnacentral:RNase_P_RNA from 2 species